rnacentral:rRNA from 1 species
UACGGGGGGAGCAAGCGUUGUUCGGAUUUACUGGGCGUAAAGGGCGCGUAGGCGGCCAGCACAAGUCAGUUGUGAAAUCUCCGAGCUUAACUCGGAAAGGUCAACUGAUACUGUGCGGCUAGAGUGCGGAAGGGGCAACUGGAAUUCUUGGUGUAGCGGUGAGAUGCGUAGAUAUCAGGAGGAACACCGGUGGCGAAGGCGGGUCUCUGGGCAAUAACUGACGCUGAGGAGCGAAAGCGUGGGGAGCGAACAGG